AAGUAGAACGCUGAAGCUUGGUGCUUGCACCGAGCGGAUGAGUUGCGAACGGGUGAGUAACGCGUAGGUAACCUGCCUCUUAGCGGGGGAUAACCAUUGGAAACGAUAGCUAAUACCGCAUAAAAGUCGACAUUGCAUGAUGUUGACUUGAAAGGUGCAAUUGCAUCACUAAGAGAUGGACCUGCGUUGUAUUAGCUAGUUGGUGAGGUAACGGCUCACCAAGGCGACGAUACAUAGCCGACCUGAGAGGGUGAUCGGCCACACUGGGACCGAGACACGGCCCAGACUCCUACGGGAGGCAGCAGUAGGGAAUCUUCGGCAAUGGGGGCAACCCUGACCGAGCAACGCCGCGUGAGUGAAGAAGGUUUUCGGAUCGUAAAGCUCUGUUGUAAGAGAAGAACGAGUGUGAGAGUGGAAAGUUCACACUGUGACGGUAACUUACCAGAAAGGGACGGCUAACUACGUGCCAGCAGCCGCGGUAAUACGUAGGUCCCGAGCGUUAUCCGGAUUUAUUGGGCGUAAAGCGAGCGCAGGCGGUUAGAUAAGUCUGAAGUUAAAGGCUGUGGCUUAACCAUAGUACGCUUUGGAAACUGUUUAACUUGAGUGCAGAAGGGGAGAGUGGAAUUCCAUGUGUAGCGGUGAAAUGCGUAGAUAUAUGGAGGAACACCGGU
rnacentral:rRNA from 1 species